rnacentral:rRNA from 1 species
UUGGAGGGCAAGUCUGGUGCCAGCAGCCGCGGUAAUUCCAGCUCCAAUAGCGUAUAUUAAAGUUGCUGCAGUUAAAAAGCUCGUAGUUGAAUUUCGGGAUCAAUUUGCUGGUCGUGCCUCUGGUACGUACUGGUAUUUUCGGUUUCUCCCUUCUGACGAACCUUGAUGUCAUUAAUUUGGUGUCUUGGGGAAUCAGGACUGUUACUUUGAAAAAAUUAGAGUGUUUAAAGCAGGCUCACGCUUGAAUACAUUAGCAUGGAAUAAUGAAAUAGGACGUUUGAUUCUAUUUUGUUGGUUUCUAGGAUCGACGUAAUGAUUAAUAGGGAUAGUUGGGGGCAUUAGUAUUCAAUUGUCAGAGGUGAAAUUCUUGGAUUUAUUGAAGACUAACUACUGCGAAAGCAUUUGCCAAGGAUGUUUUCAUUAAUCAAGAACGAAAGUUAGGGGAUCGAAGACGAUCAGAUACCGUCGUAGUCUUAACCAUAAACUAUGCCGACUAGGGGAUCGGAUGAUGUUAAUUUUUAAUGACUCAUUCGGCGCCUUAC